GACGAACGCUGGCGGCGUGCCUAAUACAUGCAAGUAGAACGCUGAAGGCGGAGCUUGCUUCUCUGGAUGAGUUGCGCACGGGUGAGUAACGCGUAGGUAACCUGCCUGGUAGCGGGGUAUAACUAUUGGAAACGAUAUCUAAUACCGCAUAAGAGUAUAUGUUUCAUGACAUUUGCUUAAAAGGUGCAAUUGCAUCACUACCAGAUGCACCUGCGUUGUAUUAGCUAGUUGGUGAGGUAACGGCUCACCAAGGCAACGAUACAUAGCCGACCUGAGAGGGUGAUCGGCCACACUGGGACGGAGACAGGGCCCAGACGCCUACGGGAGGCAGCAGUAGGGAAUCUUAGGCAAUGGACGGAAGUCUGACCGAGCAACGCCGCGUGAGUGAAGAAGGUGUUCGGAUCGUAAAGCUCUGUUGUAAGAGAAGAACGAGUGUGGGAGUGGAAAGUUCACACUGUGACGGUAUCUUACCAGAAAGGGACGGCUAACUACGUG
rnacentral:rRNA from 1 species